rnacentral:rRNA from 1 species
AGCCUUUAGCCCAACUAGUAUUAAAGGUCCCGCCUGCCCAGUGAAAAUUUUAACGGCCGCGGUAUUCUAACCGUGCAAAGGUAGCGUAAUCACUUGUCUUCUAAAUAAAGACCAGUAUGAACGGCUAAAUGAGGACAGACCUGUCUCCUAUGGCUAAUCAGUGAAACUGAUCUUCCAGUACAAAAGCUGGAAUACAGACAUAAGACGAGAAGACCCUGUGGAGCUUCAAACAUCCACUAACAAGCAAAUAAUCUGCCCUAGUGUGUAGUUUUGAGUUGGGGCGACUUCGGAGUAAAAUAAAACCUCCGAGCACAGAGCCACACACUCUCACCAAGACCAACAAGCCAAAGUUAAAACAGCCGACCCAGUAACACUGAUCAACGAACCAAGUUACCCCAGGGAUAACAGCGCUAUCUUCUUCAAGAGUCCCUAUCGACAAGAAGGUUUACGACCUCGAUGUUGGAUCAGGACACCCAAAUGGUGCAGCCGCUAUUAAUGGUUCGUUUGUUCAACGAUUAACAGUCCU